rnacentral:rRNA from 1 species
AACGAACGCUGGCGGCGUGCUUAAGACAUGCAAGUCGUGCGAGAAAGUUCCUUCGGGAGCGAGUAAAGCGGCGCACGGGUGAGUAACGCGUGGGUAAUCUGCCCGAGGGUCUGGGAUAACUCCGGGAAACUGGGGCUAAUACCAGAUAAGACCACGGUGCCUUCGGGCGCUGCGGAAAAAGGUGGCCUCUGCUUGCAAGCUACCGCCCAUGGAUGAGCCCGCGUCCCAUUAGCUAGUUGGCGGGGUAACGGCCCACCAAGGCUGAGAUGGGUAGCUGGUCUGAGAGGACGACCAGCCACACUGGAACUGAGACACGGUCCAGACUCCUACGGGUGGCAG